AGCGAACGCUGGCGGCGUGCCUAACACAUGCAAGUCGAACGUGAAAGGGAGCAAUCCCAAGUAAAGUGGCGUACGGGUGAGUAACACGUAGGUAAUCUACCCCAGAAUCUGGAAUAACCGGCCGAAAGGCUGGCUAAUACUGGAUAGAGCGACGGAAUCCGUAAUUGGGUUUUUCGGGAAAGGGAGCCUGUAAAAAGGCCUUCGUUCUGGGAUGAGCCUGCGUCCCAUCAGCUAGUUGGUGAGGUAAAAGCUUACCAAGGCAAUGACGGGUAGCUGGUCUGAGAGGACGAUCAGCCACACUGGAACUGAAACCCGGUCCAGACCCCUACGGGAGGCAGCCGUGGGGAAUCUUGCGCAAUGGACGAAAGUCUGACGCAGCAACGCCGCGUGAGUGAAGAAGGCCUUCGGGUUGUAAAGCUCUGUCGAGUGGGACGAAAAUGCUUGGAGUUCAAAGCUCCAGGAACUGACGGUACCACUAAAGGAAGCACCGGCUAACUCCGUG
rnacentral:rRNA from 1 species